rnacentral:rRNA from 1 species
CGAAAGCCUGACGGAGCAAUCUCGCGUGAGGGAUGACGGCCUAUGGGUUGUAAACCUCUUUUUUCAGGGAGGAAUCAAAUGACGUGUACCUGAAGAAUAAGCAUCGGCUAACUCCGUGCCAGCAGCCGCGGUAAGACGGAGGAUGCAAGUGUUAUCCGGAAUCACUGGGCGUAAAGCGUCUGUAGGUGGUUUAGUAAGUCAACUGUUAAAUCUUGAAGCUCAACUUCAAAAUCGCAGUCGAAACUAUUAGACUAGAGUAUAGUAGGGGUAAAGGGAAUUUCCAGUGGAGCGGUGAAAUGCGUAGAGAUUGGAAAGAACACCGAUGGCGAAGGCACUUUACUGGGCUAUUACUGACACUCAGAGACGAAAGCUWGGGUAGCA